rnacentral:rRNA from 1 species
AGCAGUCGCCGCGGGAAUACGAAGGGUGCAAGCGUUAAUCGGAAUUACUGGGCGUAAAGCGUGCGUAGGCGGUUUGUUAAGUCUGCUGUGAAAUCCCCGGGCUCAACCUGGGAAUGGCAGUGGAUACUGGCAAGCUAGAGUGUGUCAGAGGAUGGUGGAAUUCCCGGUGUAGCGGUGAAAUGCGUAGAGAUCGGGAGGAACAUCAGUGGCGAAGGCGGCCAUCUGGGACAACACUGACGCUGAGGCACGAAAGCGUGGGGAGCGAACAGGAUUAGAUACCCCCGUAGUCCCUGUCUCUUAUCC